UAUCAGUAUAAACAAUAGUGAUCACUUGCAAGACAUUCUAAUUAUUUAAUAAAACCUUCAUAAAUCUAUGCUGACAUGCUCUCCUUUUGCAGAUCCUCAGAACAAUAAAUGACCUUCUUCAACCUGAAAUUGCAUCCUCUCCGGAUACCGAACCUAUUGGCACCAGGAAGCUUCAUUUCUUACAGCCUCCAGAACCGUGAGAUGUGAAUGUGCUGUUUGUAAGCCACCUGGAUUAUCUAUUGUAUUUUGUUAUAGCAGCCUGAACAGACUAAGACAUUAGUAGACUGUGUUAAGCAUCUACCUAAGAGCCUUUACCUUUACCCUAAAGGAAUAAAUAUGUCAUGGUGAGUAUGUG
ensembl:lncRNA